UUCAAUUUAAUCAGAUAGUCCUCCAGUUUCUUUCGUCUCCAUGGCUUCAAGCAGUUCGUAGCCCUCACUUUUCCAGGUCUGUUUUUCAUGCCAAUUUUCUAUUCUGGAUGCUUGAGUUUGUUUGCGUGUUUCAUAUGCGGCAACGAGUUCAGGAUUUUUGGUUGGUAAUGAGGGGAAAAUGGUGAUGAGGAUCUUCAAAACAAGGGACUGGUUGGUACAUUAUGCUGCGCCUCUCACUGUAACAUCCAAUGGAUCUCUACCAUUUCUUCUGAGUUGAUAAAGGUGUAUCAUAAUUUCAUUAACCUUCUCAAGCUUGCACUAUAGUAUUAAAGAGAAUAAAGCCAUUAGUUAUAUUGGUGGGGUGGUGAUUAAGGAGAGGAGAACCACAAGAGAGCGCAAAAAACUUCAAGAAGAUUCAGAUAGCCACAGUAGACCAUAUUACUCUUAGAAGAUGGAAAUGGUACACUUGACAACAGCAUGACAGAUUUUGAUCCAUCUUUUCUGAGACAGCAAGAUGAUUCUCCAAUUCAUUAAUGUAAUCUGAUUGUAUAACAGAUAUUUGUGAAGUCCAGCCGCACCUCCACAAACAGUGUGAAACUAGCCACACUGCCACCGCUCAGCCACCAUAUUUGACAAUGGUUGCUGUAUUUAAUAUCGAAAAACAACUUGCUCAACAAUUGUGGGCAAUUGUCAAAACCGGCUGAAGAUGGAGGACAUGCAACCGACCUUAUGAGCCUAUAAAUAGGCUCCAUCCCGUUGCAUCUCCAAGUCAAGCCGAGCAAUCUCAAUAUCAUCCCAAGUGAGGAGUGUUGAGAGCUGUUAAGACUCCAGAGAGAGCUUGAGAGAAGAGUUGAAACUCUAGGAGAGAGUUUAAUAGUAAAUAAAGAGAGAUUACACAUGAGAAUCCGAGAGAGAGAAGUUUUGUGUUUUGUAUUCUAUUUCUAAAAGAGUAAUAGAAUUAUUUUUAUUU